UUGGUAGUGAAUCAGAGCAGCGUACUGUGGAAUUAGAAAUAAGCUCUAAGUAGUCAAUACCUGUGGCAGUCCUUUCUGGCAACCUUUACAUGUUAUUAUGGUUCAGGCUAAAUGGAAUUGCUCAAACCAUAUGUGGUUAGUAACAAACACCAUUAGGGGCCCUGGGAGUAUUGAAAUUUAUUUCCUCCUUAGGGGAGAAAAUGGAUGAGGUCAGAGUACUUCACUAUGCUUACUACACCCUGUGGUGUAUCUGAGAAAGGCAGAUGGCAACUGGUAACUCAUAGCAACUACAGGGAGCUGAAUCAAGUUGUCACAACCACUGCUACAACUCUUCCUGACCUUGUAAUAUAGUAGACCAGACAUAUCAUCAUCUACAUCACUGCCAGUGCCCUCUAUUGCAAGAAUACCAUUCCUGAUGGCAGGAAUCAUGUACAGCUGCUGGAUCACUGAAUUCAUAUAACAAGUAGCACCAGCAUUUUUCAGACCCACAAAUCCCUUUGGUGGACGAGGUCCAACAGGUGGCAGAUAUUCCCAUUCUGUAAGUGCCUCACAAGCUGAGAAUGAUUAAAAAAA